rnacentral:lncRNA from 1 species
CCGCGAUGGCCACUGAUCCUUCUGCUCACCCUCCUCCAGGACUUUGCUCACCUUCUGUGCCGUUAAGGCCUUUGUUGGUUGUCCUCAGGACUCAGUAGGUCUCCUUCAACUGUGACUGAGCAGUCUCUGCAGGCCUAGGCUUUACGUUGCUCUGUGGCCUAAAGAGGCCUCCGUAGACCCGCCCUGCCACACCCUAGGGGCCUCCCUGCCGCCGCCAUGCUUCCGGCCGGCCACGGCAGCUGCCACUCAAAGGCUCUGCAUCCGGGUGGCUUGGCAGGGGUGUCCUCUGGAGAUCCAGCGGUCGGCGGGGUCGGCUGGGAGAGGCUGCCGCCACCAUCAGGUCACCGAGAUAAGGUCUUGCUCUGUUGUCCAGGUUGCAGUGCAGUAGUGCAAUUACAGCUCACUGUAGUCUCAAUCCCCUGGGCUCAAGUGAUCGUCCCUCCUCAGUCUACCAAGUAGCUGGGACUACAGGCAUGCACCACCACACCCAACUAAUUUUUGGACUUGUUGUAGAGGUCUAUGGUUUCUUAGACACGCGUGGAUUCUCACAGCCACCACCACAGACAGUACAAGCAACAGUUCCAAUACUCCAGAGAACGCCCUCAUCUCUCCUCACCCCUGCCUUCUGGCAAGCAAUGAGCUGUUCUCUGUUCCUGUAUUUUUGCCUUUUCUAGAAUGCCAUAUAAAUGGAAUUAUAUAGAAUGUGCCCUUUUGGUACUGGCCUCUUUUGUUCAAAAGAAUAAUACCUUUGAGAUUCAUCCAUGCUGUUGUUUGAAUCAAGCAUGUUAACUUUUAUUGCUGAGUAGUAGUCCAUUGUGUAGAUAUAUUACAGUUUUUUAAAAAUCUACCCCUGUCGAAGGACAUUUGGGUUGUUUUCAGUUCUUGGUGAGGAUGAACAUUUGUGUGCAGAUUUUGUGUGGACUUAAAAUCUUG